GAUGAGAACGUAGCGAAAUGCGAUAAGUAAUGUGAAUUGCAGAAUUCAGUGAAUCAUCGAAUCUUUGAACGCACAUUGCGCCCCCUGGUAUUCCGGGGGGCAUGCCUGUCCGAGCGUCAUUACAACCCUCAAGCUCAGCUUGGUGUUGGGCCCCGCCGCCCCGGCGGGCCCUAAAGUCAGUGGCGGUGCCGUCCGGCUCCGAGCGUAGUAAUUCUUCUCGCUCUGGAGGUCCGGUCGUGUGCUUGCCAGCAACCCCCAAUUUUUUUCAGGUUGACCUCGGAUCAGGUAGGGAUACCCGCUGAACUUAAGCAUAUCAAUAAGCGGAGGA
rnacentral:misc_RNA from 1 species